rnacentral:lncRNA from 1 species
CUGCAUCUUGCUUAGUAAAGUAAUGGACAAAGUAUUGUCCACUCAUUGGUUCAUGCAUCACCUAUAACUGUUAGAUGAGGUACACAUGGAUUAGUGAGAGUGCAGUAUCCACUAAAAACUGAUUGCGUAUAGAUUUUCAUUUCUCCAUCCGAGAAGUAUGGAAGAUUUGUAGAAAUAAUGGGAGCCUUAUUUGUUUAUUAAAGUCCCUACAAC